rnacentral:rRNA from 1 species
CACGUAGUUAGCCGUGGCUUAUUCCUAUAGUACCGUCACUUCUUCGUCCUAUAGAAAAGAAGUUUACAACCCGAGGGCCUUCUUCCUUCACGCGGCGUUGCUGGGUCAGGCUUGCGCCCAUUGCCCAAUAUUCCCCACUGCUGCCUCCCGUAGGAGUCUGGGCCGUGUCUCAGUCCCAAUGUGGCCGGCCAACCUCUCAGUCCGGCUACUGAUCGUCGCCUUGGUGGGCCGUUACCCCGCCAACCAGCUAAUCAGACGCGAGUCCAUCUCAGAGCGAUAAAUCUUUGAUGUCCAGAACCAUGCGAUUCAGACAUUUCAUGCGGUAUUAGCACAUCUUUCGAUGUGUUAUUCCCCUCUCCAAGGCAGGUUACUCACGCGUUACUCACCCGUCCGCCACUUUCCUCCAGUUCCGUUGGCCGAAGCCUCCUUCCCCGGAUUCUCGUUCGACUUGCAUGUGUUAAGCACGCCGCCAGCGUUCAUCCUGAGCCAGGAUCAAACUCU